rnacentral:rRNA from 1 species
CGCGUAGGCGGACCUUCAAGUCGGGUGUGAAAUCUGUUGGCUUAACUGACAGCCUGCAUUCGAUACUGUUGGCCUUGAGUACAGGAGAGGAGAGCGGAAUUCCAGGUGUAGCGGUGAAAUGCGUAGAUAUCUGGAAGAACACCAGUAGCGAAGGCGGCUCUCUGGACUGAUACUGACGCUAAAGCGCGAAGGCUUGGGUAGCAAACAGGAUUAGAUACCCUGGUAGUCC